CCUACGGGUCGCUGCAGUGGGGAAUAUUGGACAAUGGGCGAAAGCCUGAUCCAGCCAUGCCGCGUGUGUGAAGAAGGCCUUCGGGUUGUAAAGCACUUUCAGUGGGGAAGAAAGCCUUGGGGCUAAUACCCUCGAGGAAGGACAUCACCCACAGAAGAAGCACCGGCUAACUCCGUGCCAGCAGCCGCGGUAAUACGGAGGGUGCGAGCGUUAAUCGGAAUUACUGGGCGUAAAGCGCGCGUAGGCGGUCUGAUAAGCCGGUUGUGAAAGCCCCGGGCUCAACCUGGGAACGGCAUCCGGAACUGUCAGGCUAGAGUGCAGGAGAGGAAGGUAGAAUUCCCGGUGUAGCGGUGAAAUGCGUAGAGAUCGGGAGGAAUACCAGUGGCGAAGGCGGCCUUCUGGACUGACACUGACGCUGAGGUGCGAAAGCGUGGGUAGCAAACAGGAUUAGAUACCCUGGUAGUC
rnacentral:rRNA from 1 species